ACACACACACACACAUACAUAAAUUCAGCCUCAGCUGUGAACUUAGAACCUAAUGGAUGACUAAUUAUAGCACUUAAGCAGCAUACCUAUUGGUAUUGAUCAU